rnacentral:rRNA from 1 species
GUCUUUUAGAUUAUAAUUAAAAGUCUAAUCUGCUCAAUGAUAAUAAUUAAAUAGCUGCAGUAUUAUGACUGUACAAAGGUAGCAUAAUCAUUAGUUUUUUAAUUGAAAGCUGGAAUGAAAGAUUGAAUGAAAUAAAAACUGUCUUAAUAUUAAAUUUAUAAUUUUUUUUAUUAAUAAAAAAAUUAAUAUAAAUUUAAAAGACGAGAAGACCCUAUAGAAUUUAAUUUUUGGUUAAUUUAAUUUAAAUUUAUUUUAAUAUUUAUAAAUAAAUUAAAAAUUUAAUUGGGGAGAUUAUAAAAUUAAUAUAACUUUUAUAAAAUUUUACAUUAAUUUAUGAUUUUAUGAUCUUGAAUUUUGGAUUAUUAGAAUAAAUUACCUUAGGGAUAACAGCGUAAUUUUAUUAGAUAGAUCAUAUUGAUAAUAAAAGUUGC